rnacentral:rRNA from 1 species
UGCCAGCCGCCGCGGUAAUACAUAGGGGUCAAGCGUUGUCCGGAUUUAUUGGGCGUAAAGCGCACGUAGGCGGAUUAGUCAGUCAGAGGUGAAAUCCCGAGGCUCAACCUCGGAACUGCCUUUGAUACUGCUAGUCUAGAGUUCGAGAGAGGUGAGUGGAAUUCCGAGUGUAGAGGUGAAAUUCGUAGAUAUUCGGAGGAACACCAGUGGCGAAGGCGGCUCACUGGAUCGAUACUGACGCUGAGGUGCGAAAGCGUGGGGAGCAAACAGGAUUAGAUA